rnacentral:rRNA from 1 species
CAGGUCUUGACAUCCCGGUGACCACUAUGGAGACAUAGUUUCCCCUUCGGGGGCAACGGUGACAGGUGGUGCAUGGUUGUCGUCAGCUCGUGUCGUGAGAUGUUGGGUUAAGUCCCGCAACGAGCGCAACCCUUAUUCUUAGUUGCCAUCAUUCAGUUGGGCACUCUAAGGAGACUGCCGGUGAUAAACCGGAGGAAGGUGGGGAUGACGUCAAAUCAUCAUGCCCCUUAUGACCUGGGCUACACACGUGCUACAAUGGACGGUACAAACGGUUGCCAACCCGCGAGGGGGAGCUAAUCCGAUAAAACCGUUCUCAGUUCGGAUUGUAGGCUGCAACUCGCCUACAUGAAGCCGGAAUCGCUAGUAAUCGCGGAUCAGCAUUGCCGCGGUGAAUACGUUCCCGGGCCUUGUACACACCGCCCGUCACACCAUGGGAGUUUGUUGCACCAGAAGCAGGUAGCUUAACCGCAAGGGGGGCGCUUGCCACGGUGUGGCCGAUGACUGGGGUG